rnacentral:misc_RNA from 1 species
AGACGUUGCUAGAGAAUUAAAAGCUAUUCUUAGGCCCUCACCAGUUCCUAACAAAACAUUAAGGUUGAGUUGUUUUUUUAAUAUGGUAUUAGACUCUCUGUGACCUACUUGUCCAUGUUCAAACUUUUGGUACCGUAAGCUUGUAAUUACAUUCAUCCACACGUUCUAACCAUAUGGGCUUUCAUGUGAGCACCCAUGUAACAAUU